GAGGCCUAGGGGGCUCUGCUCACCACCCGCCCACUGGAGACCCCAUGCAAGCAGAGUCUAAAGGCACCAUGCUGGUGCCUGCUCACUUCGAUGAAAGGUCACUGUCUGGGUGGUCAGGAUGGUGGCAGCACCCACAUGGGGAUGACAUGUGGAGUGAAGUGUCCACCUGCCUGUGUCCACCCAGUGAGGCUGGGAUGAGACCCUGUAGAUGGAUGGCUGGUGACACUUGGGAGCAGCCACAGACAAGCCGAUCACUCAGAGACUUAGGGCCUCACUGGGGAGGCGUGAGAUUUCCUUUAGUCCUUGGACACCAAGUGAACACCACUCUACGCCCGUAUCCAGCAUUGAUGACAAAGAAGACAGAUCCCAAGAAAGGGCUGGUGGGGGUUACACCAUGCCAGGAAAGUUCCUGGGAUUGGGAAUGAGCUAGACUCCACCUAUUGGUUGUGUGACUUGAGAAAGCAACUUAAUCUCUCCAACUUCAUUCAUUCAAUAACUACUCAUCAGGUACUCGCUGCAUGCCAAGCAUUGUUAGAGACUUUCGAUGCAGCCUUUUCUACAAAAUAGGGAUUUUUACCACCUACCUAAUAGGACUGAUGUUAAUUCCAUAAGACAUAAAGCAAUGACUAUAGUACCUGGCCCUCAAUUAAGUGUUGUCCUGCUUGGCCACAUCUUUUGAUGGCAUCUGUCUUCUGAGAUGUUCCCUGGAGGGAGGUUGGUCCUAACUGAGCAGCUCCGAUAAAGAAGCGGACUCCAAGGGAGCUGAGUUCAUCUGGGAGGGGAUUUGUCAUGGCGCCCUGCAGCAUGUCUUUUGGAGGAUCCACCCUCUGCUGAUGGAGAGUCUCCUCACUAAGACUCUGGAGCUCUGGGACUGCAGAGGAAGCCGGCAAGGCCCCGACCAGGCAGCCCUGCUAGGAAGUCCGAGGGAAUUCCUAAAUGGCCAGGGAGAUGGUAGUUCUAGGGAGAUGAGCACACAGCUUAUCAGCUCCACGGUCCAGCCUGGCAGAGACGCCCAAAGCCAGGCCCACUGGUGGUCCCUCCCCAGCUUGCCCCAGAGAGGCAGGGCAGGUUCCCAGGGAUCGUCUUCCCUGAGCUUUUGUGUGGUUCUGUCCCAUUAGGGGAGCCUGGUAAAAUCAGCAGGGCUCUGGGGUCUGGUUCUAGGACUGGCCAGCUUUGAGGCUGGCUGACUGUGUGGUUUUGUGGCAAGUUGCCUAAUGGCUCUGAGACUUAGUUUCCACAUCUGCAAAGUGGGAACUCUAGUGUGCUAUUGGGAGAGUGUCAGGAAGCCCCUGGCACACUCCUGGCACGUGACAGGGAGCUGCUGGUCACCUUCCUUUCUCCACCUCCCAACUUGGCAUUUAGCAGUAUCCUGGCAUUGGGUUUUUUUCCAAUCCAGCUGAUGGUUCAGGCACAAUACUUGCCUUUAGUGGACAUGACAUUGGGCCGCCUGACCAUGUUCCCAAAGCAAAUGGAUCAUGGGCAGCUUGCCCUGGCCCCAGGAAAGCGCAUACAAACUCUCACCACCUGCACCUCAGGACAGCAACUCCAAGACUAGAAUACCUUUUCACCCCUUCUCCCAGCCCCCAAUUCCUUCCUUCCUUCCUCAGGCUGUGUGUUUUUCCACGUGGCUGGCUGGACAUUCUGAAACAGGCAGUAAUGCUGCCACCUUUAUGGACAGCCAGAAAGAAUAAGGAGUCCCUGUGGGGGUCACACCCAAGCAUCCAGCCCAGCCUUUCUGCCUUACUCAGGCUGCCUGGCAUGGAACUUUCUGGAAGGGUUGGAAAGUAGAAUAAGCAGAGGGAUUGAAGUGGGGCAAACAUCAGCCCUUAUGAUAUGCCGGCAACUGUAGGUUCUCCAUUUUUUGGGGUACAUCUACUCUUGCCAAGCAAUGCAAGUCGCUGCCUGGGGCCAGGACAAUAAAAGAGAUAGCUUCAGAGCCAGAGGAAAUCCCAAAGGCCAAGGAGGGCCACACAGGGAGGAUUCCCACUAGACAGAUGGGGAAAGUGAGGCUCUGGGAGGGAAAGGGACCCCCCCACCAAGGUGACACAGGGGAGUCUGGGAACCACUCCAGGGUGACGGUUGAUGCAACAAGUCAUAGAGCCCUCUUAGGUUCUGGUUUUCUAAGAAGGGCCUGGUCACAUGACAGCCUCUGGUAGCAGCGGAGAGUAGUGGUUGGGAACAUGGCUUCUUGUGUUAGACAUCCUGGGGUCAAGCCUGGGCCCUGCUGCUUGCCAGUAUGUGACCUUGGCUGGUGACUCAAUCUCUCUUCUCCCCAUGUUUAAGAUGAGAGGAAUGCUACUGACCUCAUAGAUCAAAUAAGUUAAUAUACAACAUGCUCAGGAACUCAAAACCUAAGCCAAAGUUUUUCAGAAAAAUAAAAAAGUAGUGCAAGCCAC